UCAAAGGUCAAGAGGGAUCAACCUAAGUUGAAGGUUAAGAUAGAGUAAUCUAGGUUGAUGGUCGAGACAAGUUGGUCUAAGCCAAAAGUUGUGAGGAGUCAGUUUAGGAUGAAGGUUGAGAUGAGUCAGAUCGAAGGUUGAGACGAGUCAGAUCGAAGGUUGAGACAGGUGAGGUCAACCCAUAAUCGAAAUUUGGCCAAAUUUGACCGCAACUGAAUUGGCC
rnacentral:lncRNA from 1 species